CCUACGGGAGGCAGCAGUGGGGAAUUUUGGACAAUGGGCGAAAGCCUGAUCCAGCAAUGCCGCGUGAGUGAAGAAGGCCUUCGGGUUGUAAAGCUCUUUUGUCAGGGAAGAAACGGUGAGGGCUAAUAUCCCUUGCUAAUGACGGUACCUGAAGAAUAAGCACCGGCUAACUACGUGCCAGCAGCCGCGGUAAUACGUAGGGUGCAAGCGUUAAUCGGAAUUACUGGGCGUAAAGCGUGCGCAGGCGGUUUUGUAAGUCUGUCGUGAAAUCCCCGGGCUCAACCUGGGAAUUGCGAUGGAGACUGCAAGGCUAGAAUCUGGCAGAGGGGGGUAGAAUUCCACGUGUAGCAGUGAAAUGCGUAGAGAUGUGGAGGAACACCGAUGGCGAAGGCAGCCCCCUGGGUCAAGAUUGACGCUCAUGCACGAAAGCGUGGGGAGCAAACAGGAUUAGAUACCCUGGUAGUCCACGCCCUAAACGAUGUCUACUAGUUGUCGGGUUUUAAUAACUUGGUAACGCAGCUAACGCGUGAAGUAGACCGCCUGGGGAUACGGUCGCAAGNUUAAAACNCAAAUGAAUUGAGGCUGGAGAGNGCGAGACGACGACGAGGGAGGAGG
rnacentral:rRNA from 1 species